CACAUUUCACAAACGCAUGUUUUUUCAUUUCCGUCAUUAGCCAGUGACAACAAUGGGGGUGGCAAGUGGAAUCAGGUGACAGCACUUGGACGUUACAAGCUGCAGCGAGACAGGAGUAACGGGACUAUGGAUAAAUGAAUGCAUUCAAAUCCGACCAAUGAGAAGUGAGAAAUAUCCAUGAGUCUCCUCCUGGGUGUUACUGCUGAGGCCGAAGGAUUGUGAUUCGACCACUCGACGGGUACUUGAAAUGUUUCGACGCUCUCAAUUAAAGUAAGGGCUGGUCACGAGGCCUGGGAGUCUUGGGUCAGAGCAGGAGUGGGGGCCCAACCCCCCAGGAGCAGGAAGCUACUGACACAAGAUUUUUCUGAACUUCAAGAAAAGUCUGUAGCUGCAAGUCAAUGAUGAUACAGCAGCCAAAGUAUAGCCUGUGUGGCCAAUUUAUUUAGAAUGUACAAGACAGGAUAAAACAAAAAAACUUAUUUGGCCAUGAAUGAAAAAGACUUGCACUGACACACAGAAGAAAUAUCUGCAAAAAAUCAAAUAGUCAUACAAACUGGACCACCAUGUUCUUACAAAUCCUGUUCCUAAUAUGUUCAGUUUGUAAUACUCAUGGUGUUGCUAGUACUGCAUCACCAUCGUGUGCCAGUGAUGAAUACAGAGCGGGACAGCUCUGCUGCCUUUCAUGUCCUGGUGGAUAUAGGGUUCAUAGGGAUUGCAAGCGACAGCCAUUACAUUGUGCUCAAAGUGUCCCGAUGAUACUUUCAAAGAAGGCCUUAGCGGACAGAAGCAGUGCUCUGCCUGUACAAAGUGUGUCACAGGUCAGAUAGUGAAGAAGUCAUGUACUCCAACAUCAGAUGCUGAGUGUGAGAUCCAGGAUGGAUUCUUCUGUAGUGACUCAGCAGAUAAAGACACAUUCUCAGAGGCCACAUUGUCAUGCCAACCCCACACGAUAUGUGAUUCUGUGGGAGGGGUGCAGAUACAACAAGGAACUGAUUCCACUGAUUCUACAUGUCUUAAAUAUGUGGCAAUUGCGUUCAUAAUAAUAGGAUGCAUAUGUUUCAUCAUUUUGUUAGUCCUGGGAGGUAAGCGUUACAUUCAACUAUUAAUGUAUCAUGUUACAUUCAACUCUUAACAUGUAUCAUGGUUGCAAUAACCUUACAUUUAUCAUAUUGCAUUCAACUCUGACAAGUAUCAUGGUUACAUUAAACUCUAACAUGUAUCAUGGUUACAUUCAACUAACAUAUGUAUCAUAGUUACAUUAAACUAGCAUGUAUCAUGCUUACAUUAAACUAACAUGUAUCAUGCUUACAUUAAACUAACAUGUUUUCAAAUUA
ensembl:lncRNA